GUUUCGACCGUGGCUGUCGCCCGAGGGCGAUCGAGAGUCAGGCUCGCUGGUGGGGGCGUGUGAGGGCGGCCUCUGCUCACUUCCUUUCUCGGGAAUGGUGGGCGCCGUCCCCACCCCUCACUGGCAGUGACGGUGGACAACAAAGGGGCUCGGGGUGGCGGCCAGACAAAGAGGGGGACUUGGAGUGUUGCAGCGCCGAGGGGAGUUGGGAACAAAGGUAGGGGGCUGGGAGCUUCAGGGAGACUCACUACAAGAACCCCCAAGCAGAAAGUGCCGCCUUUGUCUCCUGGUGCUGCCCAAACUUGCGGAAAUCCGGGUGGUCCUACCUCACCCGCCGCCCACCUGGGCCUGAUCGGCCGCUCUGGGACGAUGCCCUCACCGCGCAUCCAGCUGAGAGGGAAACAGGUCGGACCUGGGCAGCGCCGGGGGGAAAGCCUGGGUAGCCAGCGGCCAGCAUUUAAAGGCCCCGCCUCCUCAAAGGAAAGGCUGCUGAGACUCAGAACUAGUCAAAGUACUGAGAACUGAUUGUUGGAUGCCCAUCCCUAAGCACGACUUUUAUAUGAUUCACUUCAAGACCCAGGGAACAUGCCAGAAGAGACGAGCAGAAAGAUCUUAACAGGUUUCCAAAUCCUCGGUUCGUGGGACCCCACGCAAGUAGGAGCUGCGGGACGGCAUCCUACAACUCCCAAACAUGAGAAACCUGGAGAAAUCCCUCUUUCUCA